CAGCAGCCGCGGUAAUACGGAGGGUCCAAGCGUUAUCCGGAUUUAUUGGGUUUAAAGGGUCCGUAGGCGGGAGAUUAAGUCAGUGGUGAAAGCCUACAGCUCAACUGUAGAACUGCCAUUGAAACUGAUUUUCUUGAAUAUAGAUGAAGUGGGCGGAAUAUAUCAUGUAGCGGUGAAAUGCAUAGAUAUGAUAUAGAACACCGAUUGCGAAGGCAGCUCACUAAACUAUUAUUGACGCUGAGGGACGAAAGUGUGGGGAGCGAACAGGAUUAGAUACCCUGGUAGUCCACACCGUAAACGAUGAUUACUCGAUGCUAGCGGUAUAUUGUUAGUGUCUAAGCGAAAGCGAUAAGUAAUCCACCUGGGGAGUACGGUCGCAAGAUUGAAACUCAAAGGAAUUGACGGGGGCCCGCACAAGCGGUGGAGCAUGUGGUUUAAUUCGAUGAUACGCGAGGAACCUUACCUGGGCUUAAAUGUAUUUUGACAGACUGGGAAACCAGUCCUUCUUCGGACAAUUUACAAGGUGCUGCAUGGUUGUCGUCAGCUCGUGCUGUGAGGUGUCGGGUUAAGUCCCAUAACGAGCGCAACCCCUAUCCUUAGUUGCCAGCGAGUAAUGUCGGGGACUCUAAGGAAACUGCCGGUGCAAACCGUGAGGAAGGUGGGGAUGACGUCAAAUCAUCACGGCCCUUACGUCCAGGGCUACACACGUGCUACAAUGGCGCAUACAAAGGGCAGCUACAUGGUGACAUGAUGCUAAUCUCUAAAGUGCGUCUCAGUUCGGAUCGAAGUCUGCAACUCGACUUCGUGAAGCUGGAAUCGCUAGUAAUCGUAUAUCAGCAAUGAUACGGUGAAUACGUUCCCGGGCCUUGUACACACCGCCCGUCAAGCCAUGGAAGUUGGGAGUGCCUGAAGUCGGUGACCGCAAGGAGCUGCCUAAGGUAAAACUAGUAACUAGGGCUAAGUCGUAACAAGGUAGCCGUA
rnacentral:rRNA from 1 species